rnacentral:rRNA from 1 species
UACGUAGGGGGCAAGCGUUGUCCGGAAUCACUGGGCGUAAAGGGCGCGUAGGCGGCCUGGUAAGUAGGGGGUGAAAUCCUGCGGCUUAACCGCAGGGCUGCCUUCUAAACUGUCAGGCUUGAGCACGGUAGAGGCAGAUGGAAUUCCCGGUGUAGCGGUGGAAUGCGUAGAGAUCGGGAAGAACACCGGUGGCGAAGGCGGCGACCUGGUCCGAUACUGACGCUGAGGCGCGAAAGCGUGGGGAGCAAACAGG